UCGGAAGCUAAGCAGGGUCGUGCCUGGUUAGUACUUGGGUAGGAGAUUGCCUGGGAAUACCAGGUGCUGUAAGCUU
rnacentral:rRNA from 1 species